UCAUAUGCUUGUCUCAAAGAUUAAGCCAUGCAUGUCUAAGUAUAAGCAAUUAUACAGCGAAACUGCGAAUGGCUCAUUAUAUAAGUUAUCGUUUAUUUGAUAGUACCUUACUACUUGGAUAACCGUGGUAAUUCUAGAGCUAAUACAUGCUAAAAAUCCCGACUUCCGAAGGGAUGUAUUUAUUAGAUUAAAAACCAAUGCCCUCUGGGCUUCUUGGUGAUUCAUGAUAACUCUCGAAUCGCACGGCCUUGCGCCGGCGAUGGUUCAUUCAAAUUUCUUCCCUAUCAACUUUCGAUGUUUGGGUAGUGGCCAAACAUGGUUGCAACGGGUAACGGAGGGUUAGGGCUCGACCCCGGAGAAGGAGCCUGAGAAACGGCUACUACAUCCAAGGAAGGCAGCAGGCGCGCAAAUUACCCAAUCCCGACACGGGGAGGUAGUGACAAUAAAUACUGAUACAGGGCUCUUUUGGGUCUUGUAAUUGGAAUGAGAACAAUUUAAAUCCCUUAACGAGGAACAAUUGGAGGGCAAGUCUGGUGCCAGCAGCCGCGGUAAUUCCAGCUCCAAUAGCGUAUAUUAAAGUUGUUGUGGUUAAAAAGCUCGUAGUUGAACCUUGGGCCUGGCUGGCCGGUCCGCCUCACCGCGUGCACUGGUCCGGCCGGGCCUUUCCCUCUGUGGAACCCCAUGCCCUUCACUGGGUGUGGCGGGGAAACAGGACUUUUACUUUGAAAAAAUUAGAGUGCUCCAGGCAGGCCUAUGCUCGAAUACAUUAGCAUGGAAUAAUAGAAUAGGACGCGUGGUUCUAUUUUGUUGGUUUCUAGGACCGCCGUAAUGAUUAAUAGGGA
rnacentral:rRNA from 1 species